ensembl:lncRNA
UGGGUUUGUAGGUAUGCAGAAUGCAGGAGUUAUGGGGUCAUGAAGCCUUACACUGAAGAUCCGGAAAAUAAGCUGGUGAAACCAAGCACUAUAGUAUAUAGCAAUGUUAGAUCCUUUGCAAAAGAACCUGAGAGGUCCUUGCUUGUAACCCUGAAAAUGAAACCUGAGUUGCAAUGGAGACACCAGGACAUAUCACAAACAUGGAACUUCUGCUGAGAAAAGGUGGCAACACUGCGUGGAGCUGCUUCAAGACAGAACUAUACCUAAGCCUACUAGAGACCAGACUAUGCUACCAGAAGACCUAAAUGCUAUAAAUGAAGAGUUGCAAUGGUAUUUGCUCUGCUGGGGUUUGGUCUUGGCUGAACUUUUCUCCCUGUACCCCAUUCCUCUUGAUUGGGAUAUAAAUGUUUCCUCUGUGCCAUGAGACUGUGAUUUUUUUUUGUUAUCUCACAGGGGCUCAUGGCUAUGAGAUUUUGGGGACUUUUGAAGUUAGAUUAAAUAUAUUACAUAUUAUGAGAUGGCCUUUAGCCUAUGGAGGCCAGAGGCUAACUCUUAGCCUUGAGUGUGGACUAUAUCCUACAAGCUCAUGUGCUUGAAUACUCUGUACCCCUUAGGUGAUGCUGUUUUUGAAGUUUGGGGAACCUUUAGGAGGUGGAGUCAGGUUCAAGGGAAUGGGAUGCUUAGGUCAGGGAGCCUUGUGGCCCCCAGUUUCCUUGCAUGUUCUGGCUGCUUCCUGGUUCAUCAAUAUGUGAACAAAUCACUCACCCUCUUACCACCAUGGAACUCUCUCACCCCACCAUGAAAUUGUGAAUCCCCCAAAUCAAUUUCUCCCUGAAGUUGCUGCUUUCCAGUUAUUUGUUACAAUGAUGAGAAAAGUACCUCAUUCCUUCUUUCCCCAUGACAUGUUCACCUACAAAUAGAGACACAGUAUAUACUCACAACUUUAAUAGGUCAUUAGCUGGGGUGGUGGAAAGUUGACGGGCUUUGAUUUUUGUCCUUCAUGUGUUGUCAAUUUCAAAUAAAUUAAGUUAGUCCCAAGAAAACAAAGUCUGAAUUUCACAAUUUUCUGAGAAUUAUUGGAACCAGGUCUUCCACAUGAGAUAUGAGUCUAUAAAUAUUUUCAGUGCCUAAUGCAGUAAUUACAUUUUGGUGCUGAUACACAUGUAAAUGUUUUCAUAUUCCUACCACAUGCAUGUUGGAGUGUACACACAUUUUUCUUUAUUUUUUUUUCGUUCAGAGAAGCACAUAAAAUACAAAUCUCUUUACUUCAAAGUCAGAGCAGAGGAGUUGGAGUUCUAAAUAUUUUCUGAUUUGGAGUGGUGUUCCACGACACUAGCAUGAAACCAACUCUUCAUCAAAGUGGUUUGCUUCAAUCAGGGCUGUACCGAUGCGCUAUAAAUUAUAAAUCAUAUCUUCUGUUUUACAUGGGAAUGGAAGCUUGGAGGUGGCUCGCACUCCAACAGACGGACUUGAGGUAGUUUCAUGUCCUCGGUUGCUUAUGAUUUGCUUCUAAGGUCAUUUUCAAAGACUCUGCCAUUAACUUCAGAGGCAACCCGGCAAGGAGCUUUCAGCAGCUAAGUAUGGGUUUUGGCACGGGUUCUGAUAGUUAAACAAGGCAGCGAGGAAUCACAAACAAGGAGCCAGGAGGGACGAGUGGGAGGGAAAGGUGGCUGGGAGGGAAUGGGGAGAGAGAAAUGACACCCACCGUCAUACUAGUCACCUCUCACUGGGUUCUUGGUUCCUUCCUGGACAAGAAAUGAAAGGGAAGGAGUGCAGAUCUGAGUAGUGACAGGAGUACCAGCAUUUCAGUCUAACCUAUGCUUCUGGUUUUCCCUGGGGCUGUGGGAAAGCUGAAGACCCCAGUCAUCCAUCACAUUCAUGGUCCCACCUUAAGUCCAGGAUCAUUUUAUCUUGAAAUGAUCAAAUAAGACAGCCCCCCCCCCCUCAGAUUGUAGGUAGACUUGAAGGGUGUGUGUGUGGCUACCAUCCAGCCUCCCACAUCCCUUGAGCAUGCUGCUGUCCUGGCUGUGAUCUCUCUCGUGCCCAACUUGUACCUUCUCUUUUGAGAACAGCCCAGGUUGGUGUCCCAUUCACAAUCCCCCUGCCUUAGCUCCCUAAGUGCUGGGUUUUUAGUCCUGUUGCAAUCACUUCGCACUUUCCCUGUGCUCUUUGGAGCCUCUGAAUCUAGUAUCUAAAGUGCUUGCUAAUGGUUGGUACAGCCAGGAUCCUUGGGACUCUGUCUGCUCUGACACCCCGAGGUUCUAGACACCACCGACAGUGCACAUCAUCUCAGUGAGGACCAAAGAAGCUUUGGAAUCAGGUGGACAGAAGACAGUGGCUGCAGAGUAUGUUAUAGAAAACCAGGAGCUGAUAUGAUAAUGGUGAGCCCCCUGCUGGCCGGUGGUGGACACACAGUACAAAAGAGAAAUCACCACACUGCUUUACAUUUCUGAGCAGGCUUGUUACUGCAGCAUGACACAACCUCUUCUGGCUAAAUAAAUAAUGUACGUGACGUACUUGCUUUUGUAACUCCUAUAACAUAUAGUGUCCGAUGUUUAGUAGGUUCUCAAUAAUAUUUGAUAAAUUAAGCAGUGAAUGUAAACACAUUUAGCUUGAAAAGGAACAGCCAUCCAUCACAUAUAUAAACAAAGUAGCUGCUGUACUAAGGGGAAAUGGGGUUUGGAAUUAGAUAGUGUAGAUAGCGUUUCAAACUGGAACAAAUGUAUGCUUUAAUCAUACCUAUCUCAUUGGUAGGGUUGUGAUUUAAACUAUUGCCUUUAGCAUAUUUAUUUUAUUGAUGCCUUAGUAAUUAAAAAGAAAAGAAAGAAAAGAGAAAAAGAAGGCAGGAAAAAGAAUUAGUAGUUGCUGGUGAUAUAAAACAAGGCAGAAGACUCAGCAGGUGGUAGAGAUAACAGUUUUCUACUCUCAAGGCUUGACUUAAUGUGAGAGCUUGCCCAUUACUCACUAUUCUUAUCUUUUGACUCAUCCCGCUCAGUUAUUUAUUCUCCAAGUAUUUAUUGAGCAGGUAGGUGCUGAGUCCUUGGCUAGGUGGCUGAUUCUCUCCUGAAGCUCAGCUGUGUAAGGUGUUAAGAGCCAGCAUAAGGACUGCCACAGUCAGCUCCAAAGAUUGGUGGGAGGAGGAAUCCAUCAGAUUUGGGACCAAAGACUUGCUUUGUUUCACUACCUUGUAUCUUCUCAUUCCAUAGUUCUCCAGCCCUUCAAUUUCCUUCCCUACAGCUGGUCCUCAACGCCUUUGUCUGGCACAGCAGCUCUCUGAGAGAGAGGAGAGGAAUACAUUGUUCCCAUUUGUAAGGUGAAGAAACUGGCACCAAGAGAAUGAGACAGAGGCCGAAUGAAGACACUGUGGCCAGCAACUUAUGCUCACUGUCAGAGGAGAACAGCUGCUCCAAGCAGGAAAGCUGGUCAGAGACUAGUGACUUCCUCACCUGGUGAAGGUCAUUUGAUGACUCAGUAUCAAAGUCAGCACUAAAAUGAAAACAACAAUAACAAGAAAAGGUAACAAUUGUUGGCAAGAGCCCUGUGUGUUACUGACAGAAAGUUAGAUGGUACAGCCCCUGAGGAUAAACGGUAAGGUGGUACCUCAAAAAAUUAAACGUGACUUACCUGAAGAUACAGAAACUUCAUUCCCACCUGCCAGCGGGUCCAGAGGAACCAGAGAAGAUAUUUGUAAACCUACAUUGUUAACAACGUUAUUUACAUUAUCUAGAAGGCAGAAGCAACCCUUGUCCAUAAUAGGCAAACGGACACACCACAUGGCAUGUACACCUCCCAGGGAAUCUCAUUUCAUUGUUGAAGGAAGAAAAUGCCAGGGCACCCUGCAGCAGAAGGAACAUGGAGGACACUGGGGAGGGGCCAGCUGGACCAGGAUGAGACUCUACUUUGAAAGAAAUGCCACAGAGCUUCUAGAUAUCAAUCACAUACAAGAGGCAGCUGAGGGGUGAGUUCAGCUAAAUAUCCCAUUAAGUUGCCUGUGGUCUUCCCCUCCGCUGAGGAGGAGGGGAAAAAAGCAUUGGGGGGAGAGCACUGGCACUUCAGUAAUCCCUACAAAACUUGGACCUCCCGUGUAGUGCUGGGUGUAGGUAAGGCACAGGAUAACUGGUAUGGAAAGCAGUAUGACAGAGCCUGAAAAUUCUAAACACAGGACUGACAAGUGCUCUGGUGGUCUACCUCUGGGUUUCUAACCCAGACAAUCAAGAGCAGAGAUUCUGGAGGGCAGUCUCUGCACACGUGUUUAUAAUAACACCGUUCGCAAUCGGCCAAAGUUAGAGACAACAGGACAUCCAUGGAAGCCAUCUGGAAUGAUCCGAAGAGAAACCUUUUGUACGGUUCAGGAGAGCUUUUAUUUCCCCAUCAUAAAUCAGAGAAUUGGAACUUCAGUGGCAAGAGGAAGAUUUAAGAAUUAAAAUGAUGAAAACUUACAAGAUCUCCCCAACAGGAUGAUUUAAUGACAUCACCUUGGCCAAGAUUCAGGAAUUCGGGACUCCAAGUUAUCCUGAACAGUCUAAAACCGAAAAUGGAAAGAUGAUUUUGCUUUGAGUCCAUGUGAACUCUGUGGAUGAGGGGAUGGACGCGGAGAACAUCUAUUCUGAGUAGAUGAGUUAAACAUAAAACUCUCAACACCAGUGAGGAAAUCAGAUUCCACGUUCACUUAAACUGUCCGCAGAGACCUUCAUUUUACAAACAAGAAACCCAGUGAAGGAAAGUCUGGCCUGGCAUUCCUUUCAUUUGCAGAUGUUGUGUAUCCUCAUUAUUCAUUGUAAACAGAGAAGGCUCCGUGCCACCUCAGUCAUACUGCAGGAGGAUGUUUUCACCAGCUCAGAAAAGGGGGGAAUGGGUGUAAAAAUAUUUAUGCUGCAUUUUCCAGGACUGUGUUUGAUUUCCUUUUUGGUUUGUUUAUUUUGUGGAAUGAGAGGGAUGGUGCAUCUUAUUUUUACAAGCUUGUAUUGUUACCCCAGGAAUGUUUUGGCAGAUGCAAAAUUAAAAACAAACUUCAUGUUUUCUUCAGUGCCCUUCAGGGCCCGAAAGGACAGGAACAAAGUAUCGUGGUUUGUCAUCAGAGCGCCAGGAAGCCACAAGGAAACGGAGUUUAUGAACCAAAUUGCUCAAAACGGGAAAGAAAUGAAAAAUGUGCAGCAGAUGCUCCCAGACUGGAGAACAAGCCAGAGGAAGGCCCACAGCAAAGCUUAUUGGCCUUCAACAAUAGCUGUUUGCACGCACAUGCGCGCGCAUGCGCACACACACACACACACACACACACACACACACACACACACCAAUUCUCUUCUAUAGUCAUUUCCCUGGGAUUUGAAAUUGAUAACUGUGGACACAAAGACACACUUGGCCUAAUUUGUCAGGCUAUUUGGAGUCAUGGGUGUCACCCUGCAUGUCUGGUAUGUGUACAGAUGGCUCCUGCUGGCUUCAAUAAAAUUGGAAAGCAGAAAGUCUGUAAUUUUUUUUCCAGACCAUUUAAAGGGGUUGCUUGUCAGUGCCCUGGUGUUGAAAUGGGAAUGUUAUACUGACUUUCUGGAAGUGUUCCCCAUGUUUAUAGACUGGUAACACAAUGUGUGGGUGAAAGAGAGAGCGAGCCAAUCAAUACUGUCAUCCAGUCUACUGAGUGCUUCAGCCAAACGUGCCCCCCCCCCGCCCCCGUUUUGCUGGUAAGCAAUGCUCCUGCUUGAUCAUGCAAGCAUUCAUUAAGGCAGCAAUUUCCAAAUCACUUUGCCAUUCUUUUGCAAUAUCCAUCAUUUAUCUACUUUUCAAAGACACUUGGUUUGUUUAAAAAUAAAAUAAAUUACCAGGGAAUCUGAGGCAGGCGGCUUACCUACUUCAAGACAACAUAGGGGAGAUCAUAUAUUACAAACAAAGCAAAGUAACAACAACAACAAUAAUAAUAAUUCUACAAAGUUUACAUUGUAACUCUGAAGAGAAACAAACAACUCACCACUACUACAAAGUAGCUAUCAAAAUUAUCUUGCCUAUCUAAGGUUGGGGAGUUGCAAGUAGGUGUCCACAGGGCAGAUAGAGAUGCUGAAGUAGAGAACAUCUCUGAAGAUGAAGAUGGAAGGGCAGUGGGGAAGGGACUGAACUAACUCUGAUGCCUGUGAAGGCUGUCUCCAUCCUGGAAGUAGACAUUUAUCUUGUGUUAGACCAGUGGUUUUCAACCUUCCCAAUGCUGCUACCCUUUAACACAGCUCCUCAUGUUGUGGUGACAGCCCUCCCCCUCCACCCCCCCCCCGCCGUAUAAUUACUUUGCUAAUACUUCAUAACUGUAAUUUUGCAACUGUUAUGAAUUGUAACGUAAAUAUCUGAUAUGCAGAAUACCUGAUAUGAGACCUACAAAAGGACAGUGAACCCCAGGUUGAGAACUACUGCUUGUAAGAGGUUUAUUAUUAUUUAUUGUUAUUUCUUGGGUGAAGAAAAAGUACUUACCUUCCGAAACUGAUCCCAGACAUGUUUAUUCCUUUUAUUUGGAUACUUGCACUGUGUGUUCCAAAGGGAGAUUAAUAUGUGAUAGUCCCCUUAACAGCUGUUGUUUCUGGAAAAUGUAGAUUCAGGCACUUGGUUUUGUGAUUUUGAGGGUUCUCACAGAGAAGCCGGCUACACAGACAAGCAAAGGAAAGAUUAGAGAAGUCUGUUUGCCCAAAGUCACACUUGGGUAACUCAAAUCAGGCUGCCUAUAAUUUGGGGCAUCUUCUUACUGUCUGCAUUUUGCAGUAUGUUAAACUCGUUUACAUUUGGUGUUUUGUGUCUAGACAAACACGUUUGUCCUGAAAAGUGCUUGCUUUCUCUCGUGAUGGUCUAGUGCUGCCACAGUUCUGCAUCAUGGCCCAAGCUCCAUGAAAUAAAACGAUGACAAUUGUUCUUACAGCUCUAGGCUGACCCUAGGGAACCAGGUUCAGCACCUGAGAGAGAUACAUUCUAAAUGUCUCCCACUCUGUGCCCUGGGACUCUGGAGCUACCCAGGAUGUACCCUUCCUUGGACAAGGGCACAGAAACAG